AACGCACCUUGCGCUCCUUGGUAUUCCGAGGAGCAUGCCUGUUUGAGUGUCAUUAUAAUAUAUCAACCUCUUCAGCUCUGCUUGUCGAGUGUUGGAUGUGGGGGUAUUCUUUUUUGCUGGUCUCUCUUUGAGGUCAGCUCCCCUAAAAUAUAUUAGCGGAACAAUUUGUUGACCGUUCAUUGGUGUGAUAACUAUCUACGCUAUUGACGUGAGGCAGGUUCAGCUUCUAAUGGUCCAUUGACUUGGACAAAUCUUUCAUUAAUGUGACCUCAAAUCAGGUAGGACUACCCGCUGAACUUAA
rnacentral:misc_RNA from 1 species